GUUUCCAUUUACAAAAUGGAUAAGACUUUGGUUUUUAGUAAAAAGUCUAGCCGAGUUUUUUGAUUGGAAAGGAGCNAAUAACCAACACUCUUGAUAGAAAAAGAAAUUGGUUAUUGUUCCUUUAUUUAGUGCUCUUUUCUUUACAUAAGUUUUUCUUUACUUCAACAUAAGAAAAAGUAUUCUAGUCUUAGGGAUUGCUUUAUGAUUGCUUAUCAUACUUUUUUCCUUAGAUAUGAAUUUAUAUACAUUCUUUUCAACCCUUUGUAAGGCUUUGUGAGAUUAUUAUCUUCUAGUUUUUUUUUUUCAAAUAAAAUAGAAAGGUUCGAAUUUUCUGCUUCUUCUAUCUCAUAAUUAAGAUAGAAAAAUGUUAAAAAUUAACAAUCGAAAUGAAAUAUUUUCCAUUAUGAAUUUCUUUUUUUGAUUUCMUUAAAAAUGGAAUAUUCUUUUUUUAAAUGGAUUAAAAAAAAAAAAAAAUACUAUUAA
rnacentral:misc_RNA from 1 species